rnacentral:rRNA from 1 species
UACGUAGGGUGCAAGCGUUGUCCGGAAUUACUGGGCGUAAAGAGUUCGUAGGCGGUUUGUCGCGUCGUUUGUGAAAACCAGCAGCUCAACUGCUGGCUUGCAGGCGAUACGGGCAGACUUGAGUACUGCAGGGGAGACUGGAAUUCCUGGUGUAGCGGUGAAAUGCGCAGAUAUCAGGAGGAACACCGGUGGCGAAGGCGGGCCUCUAGGCAGUAACUGACGCUGAGGAACGAAAGCGUGGGUAGCGAACAGG